GAGAUUGGGGUGGGUCC
rnacentral:miRNA from 1 species